rnacentral:lncRNA from 1 species
CAAGAGUCUAAAGGCAAAGCUCAAGAGGUCAGCAAUCAAAGUCUCUCCUAACAGCUACCGUUUAAAUUGUAUGAAUCCAACAAUGAGAUGAUAACAUUCAAUCUGUUCUGCAGGGGAGCAUAAGCCAGCUCCUUAUGUCACCUUUCAAAUGUCUAAUUAUCUCAUUCCAAUUCAAAUAAAUAACCUUAUGUCACCUAUGUGUAACAUUUCAUCAAGCUCAAUUAUCGUUCUUUAACAUCGCUCAAAAUCUAGAACACUUACACAACCAUUAUUUGACUUCCAUUCUUAAGAUUAAUUUCGCCAAAGCUCCAUAAAACCCAUCUUCAGUGAAAACUCUAUGCUACACUAAUGAUAUGGUCUUAACAGGCACAGAGGCCCAAAUAUGAUCUGUAUAGCCGACCACCAUGGCCAAAAAACAAAAGAAUUACUACGUUCUAUCUGAAAAAGUAAAGUUCCCAAUUUUUUAUCCAAAAUCAAAACUUUAUUCCUUCAAAUAUAGAGUAAACCCCAAAACAGUUUUCCAGUGAAAAUGAUAGUAUUAACAAGUUUUAAAGGCACUUCAUUUGACCAAUAAGUUACAUUCUGAAACCAUACAGUUUCUAGUUUCUAAAUUAGAAACAUCUUUCAUCCCAUUAACCAAAUAAAAAACUAUAUAAAAAGAAAAGAAAAACAAACAGAACAAGCUCUCGAAGUCAAAUUAUGAGGACACAGA